GCGGGCGCCCCUCCCCCAGCCUCGCUGCCGCCUUGCAGUUUGAUCUCAGACUGCUGUGCUAGCAAUCAGCAAGUCUCCGUGGGCGUAGGACCCUCCGAGCCAGGUGCAGGAUUUAAUCUCGUGGUGCGCCGUUUUUUUAAGCCGGUCGGAAAAGCGCAAUAUUCGGGUGGGAGUGACCCGAUUUUCCAGAAUGUCUCUCUGGCUUCCUCUCCCUCUCAGAGACCCAAUUUGGAACUGAAACCCUGAGUACAGCAAAACUGCAUUUCCCAAGCUCCUCUUCUCUCAAUGGGUCACAUGACUUGUUCUAGCCAAUAGAACGAGGGUGGAAGUAAUGUGACCACUUUCAGGUGUCCCCUAAAGUCUCCUGUGAGAUCUUCCAAUCUUGCUCUCCUCACUCUGCAUGGCUGGAAAUGAA
rnacentral:lncRNA from 10 species